AGGCAAAAAACAGGGCGCAGCAUUUUUGGGGAGGUGGAGCCCUCCACGUCACUUGCUGCACAGGACACUACUAGUCACUUCUUAGUGCUUCAGCUGACGCGUCGGGCAGAGGACUGGGAGCGGUUUUGUCCCAGCAUGUGGAGGGCGUCGACAGACCCAUCCUCUACAUCAGCCGGAAGCUAUCGGAAAGGGAGGCCAGGUAUAGCACAGUGGCAAGGGAGUGCCUCGCCAUCAGGUGGGCGGUCAGGGCCCUCCGAUACUACCUCCUGGGGCGCUCAUUCAGCCUAUGCUCGGACCACAAACCCCUCCGGUGGCUCCACCGCAUGAAAGAUGCCAACGCGCGGAUCGCCCGGUGGUAUCUAGCUUUGCAACCCUACAACUUCAGAGUGAUCCAAAGACCGGGUGCACAGAUGGCCGUGGCCGACUUCCUUUCCCGCUCCCUCACGGGUGGGGGUUAGGGCAUACUUGCCAACCCUCCCGAAUUUUCCGGGAGACUCCCGAAAUUCAGCGCCUCUCCCGAAAACCUCCCGGGACAAAUAUUCCCCCGAAAAUCUCCCGAUUUUCAAACGGAGCUGGAGGCCACGCCCCCUCCAGCUCCAUGCACCUGAGUGAGGACAGCCUUUUUUCACAACGGGAGGACAACAGGGUGACGAGAAAUAAAUCAUCCAGACGAGAGAUAAAUUGUAUUAUUAUGUUUAUCUUACCUAAAAAUAAAUAUAUUUAUUAAUUAAA